AGGUGCCCAGGAGUUGGGUGGCAGACGAUCAGAGGUGGCACUCGUGCGCUACUCCAGCAUCAUGCUCAAGGGCCUGCAUGAAUGACAGCCAGACCUACUGACCGCGAGGAAAACCCCAGGAUCCCGAUGGGACGUGAUCAUCAUCAGAAGCAAAGACUCCUGCCCUUCCCCUUACCUGCUCCUGAAACCUUACAGAUGUGGCCGUAAGCAAAACCUCUAAUACUUGGAAUGGAGGCAGCAAAGACUGGGAGUCUGCAGUGAGGCCACCAACCACAAGCAUUGCAAGAGCCAGCUGACCACACAGGAGAGCUUGCUCCUCCUGGCGGCUCUGCUGUCAGAAGAAUGAGCCACUGUCGACGCAGGGGGAGUUCACUUUCCGGGGACGUGGAGAUCAGCAAGCUUGAACAAUCUGUUCAGAGAUACGGCGUUGAUGGGCACUGGAGGGCUCGACGCCCAGCCUGGACCACAGGACUCACCAUCUGCCCUGAGAACACAAGGCUUUGGGGUCCGAGGCAGCCAUGACAGUUAGCAUCUGCUGUAUACCAGGAGCUAUGCUAGCAACUGGGGGUCCAGUGUGAAUAAGACCCAUCCCCUGUCCUGCAGAAGUCUGCAUACCGCUGGGCUCGUGGUGAUGUCAGACGUGCAAUCACGAACUUUGGGUGUUGGACCUGAAGGAUGGGUGGGGUCCAGUGUGGGAGCCAGGGAGGUGUGAGCAAGUCUACCCAGAGGGGCAUUAUCUGGAAAGCCUUCCCAGAGAGGACGACACUUAAUGGUCUCAGUGUUAGAGAUGCAGAUGAAAAGCUGAAGGAAGAGGAGCGGAAGGUACUGCCGAAGGGGAGUGAGCCAAAGACAAAGAGGAGAUGGAACCUGCAGCGCCGUCUGCUACCGGAGCCACCUGUCUGUUGCUAGAAAGGGUCCCGAGGCAUGGGGCAAAACCUGCCCACCUGCCCCUUUUGACUACUCUGCUGGCUCUCAGAUUCCGUGGCUUCCGUCCAGCCUGCGGAGACGCAGGUCAGGAAAUGGGGUGGCACCCAGCCAGAGACCACGCAUCUCCCUCCCUCUGCCUCCACACCGUCCCCUCCUGCUAUGUGCCCUGAUGCUCUGCUGUUGCUUGGCUGCCGUCCUCAAGGUUGGUAAUAAUAGUUACAAUGUUUGCGUGUGUUUGGCUUGCCUCUUACAACUUAAAUUCUUUUGAAUUACAUGAUUUCAAUCCAGCAAGAACAAGAUUUCUAUAUUUGUUGUAUCUCCCAGCAGCCAGCACGUACAUACAACAAAGGCUAAAAUACAGCAGGGCCUCAUACUCAAGACUGCCAGUCAGUCAACAAGUAUUUAUUACGUUCCCACAAAGCGUGCAGUGCGGGCAGCAGCGAGGUCUAACAAUGGUAAGAUGCACUUGUUUCAUCCUGGGAAAUCCAGAAGAGGAAAUAAAGGGACGGUACAGAAAGUUCUGACACUCAGGGGAAAGUCAGGGUCACUGCAACUGCCCAGGGGAGACCAUGAGAGCUGGGCUCAGAGCCCCGGAUGAAGGACUCCCGGCUGCCCAGCUGAUGAAAUCUCCGGUCUACAGCUGCCCGUUUCCGGAAGUCCCACCUGGAAAGGGACUCUGGGAGCCCAUAUUUGCUGCAUGGUUGUUUCUCCCCAACAUUCCCCUUCCUUCAGCCAGUUGUGCUGACAGGCAAAUCAAACAGGGAAACCACAGCAGCUCCUGCCUAAUGAAAUUUUUGCAUACUAUUAACGUUAGCGGUGGCACUAAUCUCUGGCUGAUUGCAGCCACUCAGGCUAAAUGAGUAGGAGGUUUAUUUAAAAGAGAAAAGGCAGGGGAAUGUGGAGGAAGGUAGUAGGGGAGAGGGUGAGCUAACAACUUUGGCUAGGAAUAAAGAAACAAUCUCUUUUCAAUCAGGGACAAUUAACUGUUAAGUCAAUAUGCAGACUUCAUAAUUCCUGGACUAACUUCGUCUUGCCCAGGCGGCCACGAUCAGGGUCAGGGGAGUGCAUCCUCUGGUGAGAGCUGGUACUGCUGUCUACUGCCUGGGCUUUCCUUCCCUGACACUGGAGCUUGUUACGGUAACACCUGGCACUUGGAAGAGCGGGCAGGAAAGAAGGUUCUGCCCUCCCUCCAAGAACUUUAUGGCAUCUCAUCGUUGGAGGUGCCCUUACCUUACCCCAGUGGGAGGUAUGAGCUGAAAACAAAUGGUUUAGAUACCAUUUCAGGGGGAUGUACUUGUAAAGGGCUACAAGAUCAAGGGGGGAUGUUUUGGAAAUACCAGCUCUCCCAGCACCUGGAUAAGGUCUGGGCAGGGCACUCCUUGAAUUCUGAAGGCUGCAGACAUUCAACUGGGGUGGUAAGUAGGAAGACCUGGUGGCAGAGAGAAGCAGACUGGGUAGAUCAGGGGCAUGCCCUUGGAACAGCUCUGCAGAGUCAUGCUAAGAAGAUGGGCAGAACGCAAUGCAGUCUUACCUAGAGGCAGGCACUGGGAGGGACAAGGCCUGCAGGCCUUUCAGAGGAGAGAACAGCCUUCACCCAGUGUACUGUGCUAGAUGGGGAAUCCAGAGUCGGAGAGUCUUAUUUCAGAGAGAGUUGCAAGAGCUCCACGGUGCAGGAUCCUCUCUCACCCAGAGCUACUGUGGGAGCAAACCCUACUCUGCAGCUCUGUGGCCCAAAGCUCUGUGCCUGCCUGAUUUCCCAAUUUUAGUAGCGAUGCGCUAUGCUUCAGGUGAAAGAGAGGAGAAGCCAGAGCAUCCUACGUUAAAUAACGUUUCAGUGCCACAGGCUGACUCCUGCCUAAAUCUAGGUUUUGGUUUGGGGCUUGGGGCUGGUUGUCAGGGCACCUGGCUGAGCCCUGGUACCAUGUCAGUCCUAGCAGUUGGUGGGUGCCGGGCAGCAGGCUCGUGCUGCUUUGCAAGAAUGUUCUAGGGAAGAGCACCCCAGGACAGGGACCGUGUAAAACUACUGGGAGGGGAUUCUGGAACCGAAGGGGUCAAAUAUAAGGCAGCUUUAUCCCAGGUAGAACUCUCAAGAAGAGACCGUCUUGGCCCUGCAUCUUCAUCAAUAUUUAUCGAGUCCCAGCUUUCUGCAAGGUUCCAUCACAAGAGCUGAAUACUGAUGUCUGACCUUGCAGUCUCAGACUAAAACACAGCUGACACACAAACGAAGGGAAAGGAUGAUAUAUAUGUUAAAGGAGAGAGGGGACCAUGGUGAGACACCUAGAGGGUCAUUUAGGACUUAGAGGAUCUCCUCGUCUCAAAGACACAGUAGUUAUGGGACGGUCCCUUCCCCAAAGGGAGUUUGGGAAGGGGAUUUGUGGAAAGGGAAGACCACUUCUUGAAUAGAAUGGAAACUCUCCUCGUUCACCUAGGUCACUCCUAGACGUGCUUCAAACUCCACUUAAGAGUCGCUGUGAGAUGCUGCCCCUCUACAAUCCAGCUAGCUGCACACAUGCAUCCCCUACUGUCGCAUGUGCCUCUCUGUCCGAACAGCUGCCCUCCUGUCUCUUACCCGUGACUGUCAGCCCACGGAGGGCAGAAGCCUCAGGGUCUAACAUAGUGUCAGGCACAGGGGAGGGACCUGGAUGUGAGAGCCACCUGGCUGCCACAUCUGGCAUAUUCAUUUUUGCUCAUUUAGUUGGUUAAAUAUUUACUGACUGAUAGGAACGAAGGAUGAUUUGACUAGAGGGAAGGGAGAGGAAGUGAGCACACAAAUAAUCAGGGAGGAGAUGAAGGCCCCGGGAGAGCGCCUGCUUCGAGUCCCUGCUGGGAAGGUGGACCCCAGCCCCUCUCCCCCUCUGCAAGGCCUGAGGCCCGCCUGAGCUCAUGGACUCCAGGCUGGCCUCUCCUGAUUCAUCCUCUGCUCGCCCCUCACUCACCAGUUGCUCUUCCAGGUGUGACGGACGUGCGGGUCGUGGAUGCCGUGUUUGUCCGCCUGUUCAUCCAGAAAGUCAAACAUGUACUUGAUCGCCAGGGGCAGGGCGGAGCCGCGGUGCGCCGUGCUGAAGAUGGUCUCGAAGAGGUCGUCCACAAACUUCUGCAGUGUGCCCUGCGGAGGAGGGCGCAAGUUCAGACACAGCUCGCCUGCCCCGUGAGCUCUGAGGCUGGGUUUUUUUUUUUUUGCGGUACGCAGGCCUCUCACUGUUGUGGCCGCUCCCGUUGCGGAGCACAGGCUCCGGUCGCGCAGGCUCAGCGGCCAUGGCUCACGGGCCCAGCCGCUCCGCGGCACGUGGGAUCUUCCCGGACCGGGGCACAAACCCGUGUCCCCUGCAUCGGCAGGCGGACUCUCAACCACUGCGCCAUCAGGGAAGCCCUGAGGCUGGGUUUUGAGAUCGACUGGCCUCCCAGAUGGCGGGCGGAAGGGAGGACAGCGCACAGCCACACCUGCUUGGGUGAAAUCCUGCAAGUGCCUAUGUGAAAUCUGCACCCUCCCCCUGCCCGCCUGCAUCUGUCUCGAGCAGCUUUACAUUUCCCCGGCACGUAGAAAAUAGAUACAACACCGAUAACUGGACCUAAGGAAGCCUUCCUCUGCCAACAACUCGGUUUGGUUUAACACCCUUUGAUGGUGUUAUUUUAGCACUUUUCACAAAUGCUAAUGAACAACUCAGUCAGUCAGAGCAGACAAACACAAUCUGCCGGUUCUGUUUAGGCAUUAUUCACGCCGGCUAAUGCACAGUUACUCAUUUGCCUCUGCAGAGAGCAGAGCCGAGGCCAGUCUCGGGAGUGAGGGACUAACUGGGAUGGGACUGCCUCACCUCAGAGAAAUGCCACAGCUGGCAAGUCCCUAGCAUCUCUGCUGGUGCCCCCUCUCAUCCACUCACGCACACGCUGCUGGCCAGUGCCGGUCUCUUUCCCAGCACAGAGCCUCAGAAUCCUUCUCAACCCACUGCUGCAGCCAACCCCACCCAUACUGGAUCCGUGAACCAGGAUUAGAAACGGUGCCUGGAAAGUCAAUGAUGGAGCCCCAAUUCCCAUCACGACACCCCAGAGAAAUAGUCAUUCUUCCGUUAGGCGUGGCAGAAGACUAUGAAUACACGUGGUUAGUGUCUCUCUGUUUGAGCGAGGGCAAGAGAAGGGACGGAACCAAAACUUCUGACGGCAUGCCAGCUCGGAUGUAUGGGUGGGGUUGGCUGCAGCACUGGGUUGAGAAGGAUUCUGAGGCUCUGUGCUGGGAAAGAGACCGGCGCUGACCAGCAGCGUGUGCAUGAAUGGGUGAGAGAGGGGGCACCAGCAGAGGUGCUAGGGAUUUGCCAACUCUGGCAUUUCUGUGAGGUGAGGCAGUCCCAUCCCAUAACCCACAGGUGCCCCGCACCCUGUCUGAAGUCCCAUACCUUAGUGGCCAGCAGUCGUGUCAGAUAGAUUUCAGACACCAUCUUGCUCCCCCGGUCACCCUCCUUCUGGUCCCCGUGCUCGUGGUUCUUCACCAGGUGCCACAUCUUGACGCCACUCUCCAGGUCAGGGGUGAUCAUGGGUGUGCGUGAGCGGAGGCUGUCAGGGCUGCCCGUGUACCGGAUCAUGUUUUCUGCCAAUGCAAGGACCCCACGCGGGUAAGGCCACCCAGCCUUCCGGCCCAUCACUCACGACACACCUCGGCUCCAGCCAAGGCCAACUCCGAUCCUUCCUGCAUUUGCAGGCGCUGUCACUUUGCCUCACUUCCGUCCAUUCCUGAAUCUGGGGCGCUCUCCCACCACCUCCGGAAACUCUCUGUGGCUCCUCCACCCACUCGGAUUCCCCUCCCUCCUGCACUUGCAUCUCCAGCCCUUGUUACUCAAUUUGUAAAAACAGAAGCUUGUCCUUUUUUACGCUUUCCUUAUGAGAGCUCUCAAGUCUCAGGGGGUGCUCUGUGCAGCCAGCUGGGUACCAAUGAAAGAGCAGGGAUCCUGUCUCCCCAGACGACGGCUGACCAGCUUAGUGAACGCCCUGUCACUGUGUACCUUCAUCCGCCCCUCUCGCCUGGACCAGUUCCUCCCACUUAAUUGCUGAAACGUGAGGUGUGGUGAGAUGAGAGUCGAGCGGGAAGAGAAGAGGCAAGCCCCACUGUGUGCGGGCACCGUUCUAGGUUGUCUUCUAUAUAUUUUCCAGAACCAUCCCGUGAAGUUGGUAGUUUUUGCAAUCCCCGUUUUGCUGGUAAGAAGGCACUCCAGGCUUCCAGCCCACAUCCGGCGCCCUUUUCCCCACCCCGAGGAGCAGAAACCUGGGUCUGUACCUUCCCUCCACUGCUUCAUAGCGUGUGACCUUUACACGUCAUCUAGCCUCUGUGCAUCUGAGUUAUAAUUUGCUAAUCUGCAUAAGAGGGGGAAAUAAUAAUUAUUUAAUCCACUGAUUAUUAUGAACCUGACGUUUGAUAAAGAGUUAUCACGAGUGUGAAAGCAUCUUAGAGACUGUACGAUGCUCAGGAAGGUUAGACUUUCUUGUUUUUGAGGAUGAAGGUCCUGCGCCUGCAUCAGAGCCCCUGCCCGGAACCAGAAGCCUCCUUUCCAGGCCAGAGUUCCUCUCUGGUGGCCAGCCUGCCUGACUCCCCCCCCCCCCGCCACUCCCCACCCCCGUGCCCCAUCCCGGGCAUCUGCUGCCUUCCAGCAGUGCUGCCAGCAAUGACAACAGCUGCUCAGGGCAUCCUCUCCUCCCCAGAAUGAUUCAGUGAACUCACCGUAUUUACUUGCCGAGGUCCUGGAGACGGUGGAGUUGUUCACGGCAUUGUAGGCUGUCACCUGCUUAGACACUAAAGCCACCACAGAACCAUCCGGCACCUACCGGGAAAAGGCAGGUGAGGGCCUGGACACAGAAACUCUGCCACCCCAGGAAAUCAGGACAAGCCAGGAUGAACGUGGUCCUCAGGGGCAAUCAGUGCCUCACCGAGACCCAGGGGACCAAGGAGGCUGUCAGCUUUCCUUUGACGCAGCACAACAGAUCUGAAUACAGAAUCGUAGUCUAUGUUGGGGUUCACUCUUGGAGCAACUCUGGCAAGAGCUUCUCACCAGCACCCUCUGUCUUGGUGCUUCCCUGGGGGAGCACCCAGCCUUAAACUCCGGGUACCACAGGGUCUGUGCCUAUGCCCUGUGGGAAGCAUGCACCUGGCAACCAUCUCCAAGGAGGUCAGGGUUUCCUGGCUGGGGGCCAUGUUUUCGGGUCGCUAAGGGCACGUGCAGUGCUGGUGAAGAAGUGGAUUUAGGGCUUGGUAAGAGCCUCAGGGCAGCCCUGCUAUUCAAGGACUGAGACUCCCAGGGACCUGGCUGCCCAGUUCGCUAGCCCCUCUCCACUCCACGGUCACCUCACCUGGUAAUGCGCCAGGGUGUUCAGUCUCUUCCAGUCGUUCUCAAUCUUGGUGGUGAUGUCUUCAUCCUGCAGGAUCAUCCUCGCCCCACUUCCUUGUCGCCACUCUGUAGGGAGAGCAGUCGCAUCUCAGAGAGGGCCUCAGGGCCUCCCAUGGGAUCCUGGAUGAAGUGCACGUACACGGCACCUUCUCAGGGGUGCAUCGCGGACAGACAGGUGCUAGCAGACACUCCCAGAGGAGGGGUGCGGAAGCUCUCAGCACGGGUGCGGGGGGGCCCUGAAUUCCAGUUCUGGUUCUCAUCCAACAAAUUACGUGACAGAAGUAGGAAUAACAUCACCCCCGUGGCCCACCUGUUCCCAGCAGUGGCUGUAAGGCCAAGUGGCCUGAGGCAGGGGAACACAAUCAGAUUCACAGGUUGCAUCAGAACGAAAUUCUCCGGACCACCCAGUUCCAGAAACUGCCCUGGAGACAUUCCGGACCACCCAGUUCCAGGAACUGACCUGGGGACUUUGAACCCGGCCCAGCCUUCCCGCCUUUCGAGGGGCGGGACUAACUGUCCCAAGACUGAUGCAACCGGCAACCAGAUAUUGCCACGAUACCCGAAGAGACCACCAAAUAAGGAAUACCCUGCGCCCUCCCAGAUUCACCACACCCCUUUCCCUUCUUCCCCUAUAAAAUCUUGCCCAACCCUCGCCCAGGCGCGACUUCUCUGGCCCCUUUCUCUCACACCAGUGAACCUCGCCCGGGAGCGCUCCCUAAUAAAGCUCACUUGAAGCUUU